CCUUACCACCUUUUGACAUGCCUGGACCGCCAGAGAGAUGUGGCUUUCCCUUCGGGGACUAGGACACAGGUGCUGCAUGGCUGUCGUCAGCUCGUGUCGUGAGAUGUUGGGUUAAGUCCCGCAACGAGCGCAACCCUCGCCAUUAGUUGCCAUCAUUUAGUUGGGAACUCUAAUGGGACGGCCGGUGCUAAGCCGGAGGAAGGUGGGGAUGACGUCAAGUCCUCAUGGCCAUCACAGGGUGGGUUACACACGUGCUACAAUGGGUAGUACAGAGGGUUAAUCCUUAAAAGUAGUCUCAGUUCGGAUUGUCCUCUGCAACUCGAGGGCAUGAAGUUGGAAUCGCUAGUAAUCG
rnacentral:rRNA from 1 species